rnacentral:rRNA from 1 species
UGGGGAAUUUUGGACAAUGGGCGAAAGCCUGAUCCAGCAAUGCCGCGUGUGUGAAGAAGGCCUUCGGGUUGUAAAGCACUUUUGUCCGGAAAGAAAUCCUUGGCUCUAAUACAGUCGGGGGAUGACGGUACCGGAAGAAUAAGCACCGGCUAACUACGUGCCAGCAGCCGCGGUAAUACGUAGGGUGCAAGCGUUAAUCGGAAUUACUGGGCGUAAAGCGUGCGCAGGCGGUUUGCUAAGACCGAUGUGAAAUCCCCGGGCUCAACCUGGGAACUGCAUUGGUGACUGGCAGGCUAGAGUAUGGCAGAGGGGGGUAGAAUUCCACGUGUAGCAGUGAAAUGCGUAGAGAUGUGGAGGAAUACCGAUGGCGAAGGCAGCCCCCUGGGCCAAUACUGACGCUCAUGCACGAAAGCGUGGGGGAGCAAAACAGGAUUAGAUACCCUGGUAGUCCACGCCCUAAAACGAUGUCAACUAGUUGUUGGGGAUUCAUUUCCUUAGUAACGUAGCUAACGCGUGAAGUUGACCGCCUGGGGGAGUACGGUCGCAAGAUUAAAACUCAAAUGAAUUGACGGGGUCAUAGCUGUUUCCU